UACGUAGGGAGCUAGCGUUGUCCGGAAUCAUUGGGCGUAAAGCGCGCGUAGGCGGCCCGGUAAGUCCGCUGUGAAAGUCAAAGGCUCAACCUUUGAAUGUCAGCGGAUACUGCCGGGCUAGAGUCCGGAAGAGGCGAGUGGAACUCCUGGUGUAGCGGUGAAAUGUGUUGAUAUUGGAAGGAACACCGGAGGCGAAAGCGGUGUGCUGGGGCUGGUCUGACGCUGAGGCACGAAAGCCAGGGGAGCGAACGGG
rnacentral:rRNA from 1 species